rnacentral:rRNA from 1 species
CCUACGGGAGGCAGCAGUAGGGAAUUUUCGUCAAUGGGCGCAAGCCUGAACGAGCGAUGCCGCGUGAGUGAAGAAGGCCUUCGGGUCGUAAAGCUCUGUUGCGGGGGAAAAAAGGCAGCAUCAGGAAAUGGGUGCUGACUGAUGGUGCCCCGCCAGAAAGUCACGGCUAACUACGUGCCAGCAGCCGCGGUAAUACGUAGGUGGCGGGCGUUGUCCGGAAUGGUUGGGCGGAAAGGGUGCGCAGGCGGUCCUGCAAGUCUGGAGUGAAACGCAUGAGCUCAACUCAUGCAUGGCUUUGGAAACUGGAGGACUGGAGAGCAGGAGAGGGCGGUGGAACGCCAUGGGUAGCGGUAAAAUGCGUAGAUAUAUGGAAGAACACCAGUGGCGAAGGCGGCCGCCUGGCCUGUUGCUGACGCUGAGGCACGAAAGCGUGGGGAGCAAAUAGGAUUAGAUACCCGUGUAGUC